rnacentral:misc_RNA from 1 species
GAUCAUUACAGCGAAGCGGCGCGAGCCGCCUUUCGAACCACCGCGUACCGAACCCCCCACGUUGCCUCGGCGGGCGCCGGGCGCCCCGCGCCCGCCCCGCCGAACGGCCCCCCAGCAAGACCCCUUCCGUCGAGAUGGCGUCGUCUGAACCCUCCGGGGAAAACGUUUCUGAAACGAAAAACACAACUUUCAACAAUGGAUCUCUUGGCUCCGGCAUCGAUGAAGAACGCAGCGAAACGCGAUAGCUAGUGUGAAUUGCAGAUUUCAGUGAAUCAUCGAGUCUUUGAACGCACAUUGCGCCUCUUGGUAUUCCUCGAGGCAUGCCUGUUCGAGCGUCGUUACGCCCCUCAAGCGCGAGCUUGGUGUUGGGGACCGCCCCUGAGACACGGCGGCGGCCCCGGAAUGCAUCGGCGGUGCUGGUCCCAGCCCGGAGCGCAGCAGACAUGCGGCUCCGCGGGCGGGGCCGGCGCCCGCCGGACAAACGACGAGACCCCUCCACAAGUCGACCUCGA